rnacentral:rRNA from 1 species
ACCCGCUGAACUUAAGCAUAUCAAUAAGCGGAGGAAAAGAAACCAACAGGGAUUGCCCCAGUAACGGCGAGUGAAGCGGCAACAGCUCAAAUUUGAAAUCUGGCCCCCGGGCCCGAGUUGUAAUUUGCAGAGGAUGCUUCGGGCGCGGCGCCUCCCAAGUCCCCUGGAACGGGGCGCCUGAGAGGGUGAGAGCCCCGUACGGUUGGACGCCUAGCCCUUGUGAAGCUCCUUCGACGAGUCGAGUAGUUUGGGAAUGCUGCUCAAAAUGGGAGGUAGACCCCUUCUAAAGCUAAAUACCGGCCAGAGACCGAUAGCGCACAAGUAGAGUGAUCGAAAGAUGAAAAGCACUUUGAAAAGAGGGUUAAACAGCACGUGAAAUUGUUGAAGGGGAAGCGCUUGUGACCAGACCUGCGCCGGGGCGAUCAUCCGGCGUUCUCGCCGGUGCACUCGCCCCGGCUCAGGCCAGCGUCGGUUCGGGCGGGGGGAGAAAUGCGCCGGGAACGUGGCUCCCCCGGGAGUGUUAUAGCCCGGCGCGUCAUGUCCCCGCCUGGACCGAGGUUCGCGCUCUGCAAGGACGCUGGCGUAAUGGUCACCAGCGGCCCGUCUUGAAACACGGACCAAGGAGUCGAGGUUCUGCGCGAGUGUUGGGUGCCAAACCCGCACGCGCAAUGAAAGUGAACGUAGGUGGGAGCUUCGGCGCACCACCGACCGAUCCUGAUGUUCUCGGAUGGAUUUGAGUAGGAGCGUAGGGCCUCGGACCCGAAAGAUGGUGAACUAUGCUUGGAUAGGGUGAAGCCAGAGGAAACUCUGGUGGAGGCUCGCAGCGGUUCUGACGUGCAAAUCGAUCGUCAAAUCUGAGCAUGGGGGCGAAAGACUAAUCGAACCAUCUAGUAGCUGGUUACCGCCGAAGUUUCCCUCAGGAUAGCAGUGUUGUAUUCAGUUUUAUGAGGUAAAGCGAAUGAUUAGGGACUCGGGGGCGCUAUUUUGCCUUCAUCCAUUCUCAAACUUUAAAUAUGUAAGAAGCCCCUGUUGCUUAGUUGAAC